AUUGAACGCUGGCGGCAGGCCUAACACAUGCAAGUCGAGCGAGCGGCGGACGGGUGAGUAAUGUAUGGGGACUGCCCGAUAGAGGGGGAUAACUACUGGAAACGGUAGCUAAUACUGCAUACUAUCGGAUAACCCAUAUGGGAUUAGCUAGUGGGUGAGGUAAUGGCUCACCUAGGCGACGAUACCUAGCUGGUCUGAGAGGAUGAUCAGCAACACGGGAACUGAGAAACGGCCCAGACUCCUCCGGAGGAAGCAGUGGGGAAUAUUGCACAAUGGGCGAAAGCCUGAUGAAGCAAUGCCGCUUGUAUGAAGAAGGCCCUAGGGUUGUAAAGUACUUUCAGUCGGGAGGCGUUACCGGCAGAGGAAGCAACGGCUAACUACGUGCCAGCAGCCGCGGUAAUAC
rnacentral:rRNA from 1 species